rnacentral:lncRNA from 1 species
UUAUGAACAUACAAGACUAUAGCUACAUGAUCCUGAACUAACUUGGGAUACAGAUCCACGUUCCUUGGAGGUAACUGGUUAAGCUUUUCCAAUUGGAUGGACAAUUUGCUCUGCUUAAGCAGCUUGAGUUUCUGAUCUACUGCAGAAUUGUUGCGAGGUGCUUCCAACUGGUCAUAAGAUUCAUUCAGAUUCCUGGAGACGAAACUGGAGAUUGAAUUCGUACCAAGCAGAACAAUGAGUAACAGAAUCCCUACUGCCGUUACCAAAAUCAGAG